rnacentral:rRNA from 1 species
GUUAUCUCAUGCUGAAUACAUAGGCAUGCGAGGCGAACCAGGGGAACUGAAACAUCUAAGUACCCUGAGGAAAAGAAAUCAACCGAGAUUCCCUUAGUAGUGGCGAGCGAACGGGGACCAGCCCUUAAGUUGGUUUGAGAUUAGCGGAACGCUCUGGAAAGUGCGGCCAUAGUGGGUGAUAGCCCUGUACGCGAAAAUCUCUUGUCAAUGAAAUCGAGUAGGACGGGGCACGAGAAACCUUGUCUGAAUAUGGGGGGACCAUCCUCCAAGGCUAAAUACUACUGACUGACCGAUAGUGAACUAGUACCGUGAGGGAAAGGCGAAAAGAACCCCGGAGAGGGGAGUGAAAUAGAUCCUGAAACCGUAUGCGUACAAGCAGUGGGAGCAGACUUCGUUCUGUGACUGCGUACCUUUUGUAUAAUGGGUCAGCGACUUAUAUUCAGUGGCGAGCUUAACCGAAUAGGGGAGGCGUAGCGAAAGCGAGUCUUAAUAGGGCGUUUAGUCGCUGGGUAUAGACCCGAAACCGGGCGAUCUAUCCAUGGGCAGGUUGAAGGUUAGGUAACACUGACUGGAGGACCGAACCGACUACCGUUGAAAAGUUAGCGGAUGACCUGUGGAUCGGAGUGAAAGGCUAAUCAAGCUCGGAGAUAGCUGGUUCUCCUCGAAAGCUAUUUAGGUAGCGCCUCAUGUAUCACUGUAGGGGGUAGAGCACUGUUUCGGCUAGGGGGUCAUCCCGACUUACCAAACCGAUGCAAACUCCGAAUACCUACAAGUGCCGAGCAUGGGAGACACACGGCGGGUGCUAACGUCCGUCGUGAAAAGGGAAACAACCCAGACCGUCAGCUAAGGUCCCAAAAUCCUGGUUAAGUGGGAAACGAUGUGGGAAGGCUUAGACAGCUAGGAGGUUGGCUUAGAAGCAGCCACCCUUUAAAGAAAGCGUAAUAGCUCACUAGUCGAGUCGGCCUGCGCGGAAGAUGUAACGGGGCUCAAACCAGGUACCGAAGCUACGGGUAUCACCUUCUGGUGAUGCGGUAGAGGAGCGUUCUGUAAGCCUGUGAAGGUGAGUUGAGAAGCUUGCUGGAGGUAUCAGAAGUGCGAAUGCUGACAUGAGUAACGACAAUGGGUGUGAAAAACACCCACGCCGAAAGACCAAGGUUUCCUGCGCAACGUUAAUCGACGCAGGGUUAGUCGGUCCCUAAGGCGAGGCUGAAAAGCGUAGUCGAUGGAAAACAGGUUAAUAUUCCUGUACUUCUGGUUAUUGCGAUGGAGGGACGGAGAAGGCUAGGCCAGCUUGGCGUUGGUUGUCCAAGUUUAAGGUGGUAGGCUG